rnacentral:rRNA from 1 species
GAUGAACGCUGGCGGCGUGCCUAAUACAUGCAAGUCGAGCGAACAGAUGAGGAGCUUGCUCCUCUGACGUUAGCGGCGGACGGGUGAGUAACACGUGGAUAACCUACCUAUAAGACUGGGAUAACUUCGGGAAACCGGAGCUAAUACCGGAUAAUAUAUUGAACCGCAUGGUUCAAUAGUGAAAGACGGUUUUGCUGUCCCUUAUAGAUGGAUCCGCGCCGCAUUAGCUAGUUGGUAAGGUAACGGCUUACCAAGGCAACGAUGCGUAGCCGACCUGAGAGGGUGAUCGGCCACACUGGAACUGAGACACGGUCCAGACUCCUACGGGAGGCAGCAGUAGGGAAUCUUCCGCAAAGGGCGAAAGCCUGACGGAGCAACGCCGCGUGAGUGAUGAAGGUCUUCGGAUCGUAAAACUCUGUUAUUAGGGAAGAACAAAUGUGUAAGUAACUAUGCACGUCUUGACGGUACCUAAUCAGAAAGCCACGGCUAACUACGUG